GCGCAGCAGGCGCGAAAACUCCGCAAUGCGCGAAAGCGUGACGGGGUCACCCCGAGUGCCGUCCGCUGAGGAUGGCUUUUGCGCGGUUUACAAAGCCGCGCGAAUAAGCGGGGGGCAAGACGGGUGUCAGCCGCCGCGGUAAUACCCGCUCCGCGAGUGGUGAGGACUGUUAUUGGGCUUAAAGCGUCCGUAGCCGGCUCGGCGUGCUCCGCGUCAAAUCCAGCAGCCUAACUGCUGGGCCGCGCGGAUGACUGUCGAGCUUGGGGGUGAGAGAGGCGCUCGGUAUACUCGGGGUAGGGGUAAAAUCCAUUAAUCCCGGGAGGACCACCAGUAGCGAAGACGGAGCGCCAGAGCACGCCCGACGGUGAGGGACGAAAGCUAGGGGAGCAAACGGGAUUAGAUACCCCGGUAGUCC
rnacentral:rRNA from 1 species